UAGGGAAUCUUCCACAAUGGGCGCAAGCCUGAUGGAGCAACACCGCGUGAGUGAAGAAGGGUUUCGGCUCGUAAAGCUUUGUUGUUAAAGAAGAACACGUAUGAGAGUAACUGUUCAUACGUUGACGGUAUUUAACCAGAAAGUCACGGCUAACUACGUGCCAG
rnacentral:rRNA from 1 species